UACGAAGGGGGCUAGCGUUGCUCGGAAUUACUGGGCGUAAAGGGCGCGUAGGCGGCACUGUUAGUCAGGCGUGAAAUUCCUGGGCUCAACCUGGGGACUGCGCUUGAUACGGCAGAGCUUGAGGAUGGAAGAGGGUCGCGGAAUUCCCAGUGUAGAGGUGAAAUUCGUAGAUAUUGGGAAGAACACCCGUGGCUAAGGCGGCUCUCUAGUACGGUACUGACGCUGAGACGCGAAAGCGUGGGGAGCGAACAGG
rnacentral:rRNA from 1 species